AUUGAACGCUGGCGGCAUGCCUUACACAUGCAAGUCGAACGGUAACGCGGGGCAACCUGGCGACGAGUGGCGAACGGGUGAGUAAUGUAUCGGAACGUGCCCAGUUGUGGGGGAUAACUGCUCGAAAGAGCAGCUAAUACCGCAUACGACCUGAGGGUGAAAGCGGGGGAUCGCAAGACCUCGCGCAAUUGGAGCGGCCGAUAUCAGAUUAGGUAGUUGGUGGGGUAAAGGCUCACCAAGCCAACGAUCUGUAGCUGGUCUGAGAGGACGACCAGCCACACUGGGACUGAGAAGAGGCCCAGACGCCUACGGGAUGCAGCAGUGUGGAAUUUGGGACAAUGGACGCAAGUCUGAUCCAGCCAUGCCGCGUGCGGGAAGAAGGCCUUCGGGUUGUAAACCGCUUUUGUCAGGGAAGAAACGCUCUGGGUUAAUACCUCGGGGUAAUGACGGUACCUGAAGAAUAAGCACCGGCUAACUACGUGCCAGCAGCCGCCGUAAAAC
rnacentral:rRNA from 1 species